rnacentral:rRNA from 1 species
CCUACGGGUGGCAGCGGUGGGGAAUAUUGGACAAUGGGGGGAACCCUGAUCCAGCCAUGCCGCGUGUGUGAAGAAGGCCCUCGGGUUGUAAAGCACUUUCAGUGAGGAAGAACGCCUGGUGGUUAAUACCCAUCAGGAAAGACAUCACUCACAGAAGAAGCACCGGCUAACUCCGUGCCAGCAGCCGCGGUAAUACGGAGGGUGCGAGCGUUAAUCGGAAUUACUGGGCGUAAAGCGCGCGUAGGUGGCUUGAUAAGCCGGUUGUGAAAGCCCCGGGCUCAACCUGGGAACGGCAUCCGGAACUGUCAAGCUAGAGUGCAGGAGAGGAAGGUAGAAUUCCCGGUGUAGCGGUGAAAUGCGUAGAGAUCGGGAGGAAUACCAGUGGCGAAGGCGGCCUUCUGGACUGACACUGACACUGAGGUGCGAAAGCGUGGGUAGCAAACAGGAUUAGAUACCCUGGUAGUC